UAACAGGAUUAGAUACCCUGGUAGUCCACGCCGUAAACGAUGUCUACUCGGAGUUUGGUGUCUUGAACACUGGGCUCUCAAGCUAACGCAUUAAGUAGACCGCCUGGGGAGUACGGCCGCAAGGUUAAAACUCAAAUGAAUUGACGGGGGCCCGCACAAGCGGUGGAGCAUGUGGUUUAAUUCGAUGCAACGCGAAGAACCUUACCUACUCUUGACAUCCAGAGAAUUCGCUAGAGAUAGCUUAGUGCCUUCGGGAACUCUGAGACAGGUGCUGCAUGGCUGUCGUCAGCUCGUGUUGUGAAAUGUUGGGUUAAGUCCCGCAACGAGCGCAACCCCUAUCCUUAUUUGCCAGCACGUAAUGGUGGGAACUCUAGGGAGACUGCCGGUGAUAAACCGGAGGAAGGUGGGGGCGACGUCAAGUCAUCAUGGCCCUUACGAGUAGGGCUACACACGUGCUACAAUGGCGAGUACAGAGGGUUGCAAAGCCGCGAGGUGGAGCUAAUCUCACAAAGCUCGUCGUAGUCCGGAUUGGAGUCUGCAACUCGACUCCAUGAAGUCGGAAUCGCUAGUAAUCGUGGAUCAGAAUGCCACGGUGAAUACGUUCCCGGGCCUUGUACACACCGCCCGUCACACCAUGGGAGUGGGCUGCAAAAGAAGUGGGUAGCUUAACCUUCGGGGGGGCGCUCACCACUUUGUGGUUCAUGACUGGGGUGAAGUCGUAACAAGGUAACCA
rnacentral:rRNA from 1 species